UAUGGCCAUAUCAUGUUGAAACACGAGUUCUUGCAAGAUCACCAAACUUAAGCAAUUAAGAACCUUGUCAGUACUUAGAUGGGUGACCACUUGGGAAUAUCAGGUGCUGUAAG